AGACUGCGCCUCGGAAUGCAGACGCUUCUCUGCCUAGAACCUGGCCCGGCCCUAUGGGAAAGCCCCGGUUCUCGGCGGCACUGAACUGGUUCAUAUUCUAAAGAGAGCAGGCACUGAGCAAAUGUUUGUUGAACUGAACCAAUCUGCUAGUUAUGGGGACAUGACCUCCACUUCAUGGUGUUGAACUAAACAAACACAUACUUCUCCAGACAAAUAUUAAAACUGGUGAACUUCAAAAUAACGUGAAAAGCUCCUAUGUUUCCAUGCCUCAUUAUAUGCCACAAAAAAUCAAAUGAUAACGAGAACAAAGUAGGUUAUUUUGUUUGCUAUUUAACUUGUGUGCAGGUCUUCACAGAAUGAGAGGCAUACCAACACUCAUGACCCCAGGCUAGUUCUGUUCUUUGCCAGUGUGUGGUUUGGGAGUUCUGUGAAGUGUUUGCAGUCGCUACUAAUAAUCCAGGUGACACGGCAAACAUUGCAGUUCCUAGGUCCAGCACAAUUAGAGGAGGGUUCACUCGUAGGCAGCAUCUGAGCAACAGGCUCACCAGACUUCAGCCUCUUCACUCCGACUCUUCCACGCUCCAGCUCUCUUCAUUAAGAUAUUCUAGAAGCAACUGAGGAGUUUCUACAAACAUUUUGGAAAUUACAGCAGGUCAAGUGGAAGUUUGUUUUCAUUUCAGUUAAGGUACGAGUUGUUCUGACUGCUGUGCAGACAUUCACACGCCCGCUGCUAGAAAGCUGGAGCUGGAAGGAGCAUUGGGGCCCGCUGAGUCCUCCUUUCUCAUGUAUGGAUGCGGA
rnacentral:lncRNA from 1 species